UAACCGUUGUGAACACCCCGUAAACCGAGACCUCUAGGGUGUCUAAAUCACGUCUCUAAUAUCCUGUCUUAGGGUGACAGGAAAUAGUAACUCCA
rnacentral:ncRNA from 1 species